rnacentral:tRNA from 1 species
AUUUAAUUAGUUUAAUUUAAAACGUUGAUUUGUGGGGUCAGUAAUGUGGUAACUACAUUAAAUU